UUAUAUUUUAAAAAAUUGUGGAAACUGAAAGUUAAGUAUUGACUCAACAUAUUGCUUUCAAAAAAUUAUCCCCAAACAAAAAUAUGCAUUGUGGUAAUUAAAACAUAAAGAAUUGGCUUAAAACAAAAAUGUAUAUUCACAGAACAUAUUAAACUCUGCUCAGCCAAUUUAUCGUGUCAAAUGAAAAAUCUGAGUUGACUGAACAUAGUUCAGCCAGAAAAGCGUGGGAAUGCACCUGAAUUUAAUUGGCUUCAGUGUGGAUGCGUGGGAGUUGAUGAUCGACAUUUUCUACAAUAAAGAUAUGUGUAACGCACCGAGCAACGCUUCAUUUAGUGAGGAAAUGGCAAGGUCACUACAACUUUCACAAGUACCAAGGCUUUGGAGAUUUACGCAUGUGACAUGAAAAUGGGAAUUCGUGAAACACUGAGCAGUUUCUGAUCCAUGUCAAGAUUCAUUUCCAGUGAGCCGGUUGUGCUGGAAAAUUUGUGAGACUUUAUGCCUUCAAU